rnacentral:rRNA from 1 species
UACGUAGGGGGCUAGCGUUGUCCGGAAUCAUUGGGCGUAAAGAGCGUGUAGGCGGCCCGGUAAGUCCGCUGUAAAAGUCAAAGGCUCAACCUUUGAAUGUCAGUGGAUACUGCCGGGCUAGAGUCCGGAAGAGGCGAGUGGAACUCCUGGUGUAGCGGUGGAAUGCGCAGAUAUCAGGAGGAACACCUAUAGCGAAGGCAGCUCGCUGGGACGACACUGACGCUGAGACGCGAAAGCGUGGGGAGCGAACAGG